rnacentral:rRNA from 1 species
UACGAAGGGGGCUAGCGUUGUUCGGAAUUACUGGGCGUAAAGCGUGCGCAGGCGGCCAUUCAAGUCAGGGGUGAAAGCCCAGAGCUCAACUCUGGAACUGCCCCUUGAAACUGUAUGGCUUGAGUAUGAGAGAGGUGAGUGGAAUUCCCAGUGUAGAGGUGAAAUUCGUAGAUAUUGGGAAGAACACCGGUGGCGAAGGCGGCUCACUGGCUCAUAACUGACGCUCAUGCACGACAGCGUGGGGGAUCAAAACAGG